rnacentral:rRNA from 1 species
GACGAACGCUGGCGGCGUGCCUAAUACAUGCAAGUAGAACGCACAGUUCAUACUGUAGCUUGCUACACCAUAAACUGUGAGUUGCGAACGGGUGAGUAACGCGAUGGUUACCUGACUGGUAGCGGGGGAUAACUAUUGGACACGGUAGCUAAUACCGCAUGCUAUUGAUUAUUCCAUGAUCAUUGAUUGUAAGUUGCUAUUGUAUCGCUACAAGAUGGCCCUGCGUUGUAUUUGCUCGUAGGUGAGGUAACGGCACACUUAGGCGACGAGACAUAGCAGACCUGAAAGGGGGAUCUGCGACGCUGGGACUGGGACACGGCCAAGAAUCUUACGGGUGGCAGCAGUAGGGAAUCUUCGGCGAUGGACGAAAGUCGGACCGAUCAACGCCGCGUGAGUGAAGAAGGUUUUCGGGUCGUGAAGCUCUGUUGUGAGUGAAGAACGUGUGUGAGUUUGGAAAGUUCACACAGUGACGGUAUCUUACCAGAAAGGGACGGCUAACUACGUG